GGAUUAGAUACCCUGGUAGUCCACGCCGUAAACGAUGAUUACUAAGUGUUCGGUCUUCGGACUGAGUGCUCAAGCGAAAGCGAUAAGUAAUCCACCUGGGGAGUACGUCGGCAACGAUGAAACUCAAAGGAAUUGACGGGGGCCCGCACAAGCGGUGGAGCAUGUGGUUUAAUUCGAUGAUACGCGAGGAACCUUACCUGGGCUACAAUGCCUCUGCCAACUGCCGAAAGGUGGCUUUCCUACGGGACAGAGUGCAAGGUGCUGCAUGGUUGUCGUCAGCUCGUGCUG
rnacentral:rRNA from 1 species